CCACAACCCGCCCUUCCAGGUGCUGGCUCCGCCCACGUCUCCUCCUUCUUUGCCUUCGCCACGCCUCCGUAGGCCCGCCUUCUCCCUGGCCCCGCCUCUGCUCCGUAGUCCUUCGCACAGGCCUGGUCCUUCCCCGCCCCCAACACAGGCCUUGCCCACGUCUGUCCAAUCCUCAGCUUUGUCCUCACCUCCUCCGGGCUGGCCCCUGGGCUGGCCCCAGGUCGCGCCGGCCUUGUCCCGAAUUCCCACCCUCGUUUCUAGAUAGACCUCUAGCCUUCUUAGUUAGUUGUAGUUUCCUGAGGUUAUGUCCGCAGGCCUAUUUAGGACUUGGAGACCUGUUCUGCCCCUUGGAGACCUGUGCAGCAGCCCCGCGGCACAGGCCCCUAGCUUGUCUGGCCCUGCCCCUCCGCUCUGGAGCUCCGCCCCCAUGGCUUAAGUUGUGCUGCCCCUUGAAGCUGUGCCUUUCAGGGAGCCAGCAGUGGGGUCUGGAUGCCCGAGGCCUGGACACUAAAUUUUUGCUGGACUUUGAAAGUUGACAGAGACUCUGAUCCAGAAGGAAGCUUCAGUAUGAGAUUUGCAGCUUCCGAUGACUGUGGGUAGCCUCAAGUGGUUCAGUCUUAUGCCUAAUUGGAGGGGAGGGGAGGGAACCUCAGGUUUUUCCUUCUUGAACUCAGACCUGCCCGGAAAUCCGGGAGGAGCCAGAGGUCAGCUGGCCUUGUUUAACCGCAGCCGAUGCCACAGUGAACAUCUGCCAAGGAGGUGUUCCCCCAUUCCCCCAGCUUCCUCUGCUGUCACAGCCUAAGGAGGCAGGUUUCCAGUGCCCACGCAGUGUGCUCCAGACCCAGGUCAAGAAUGUGCCUCUUGUUCUGUGAGGAUAUUGAAACUUGAGACAUGCACAAGAUCAACGCAGCUUCGGAUGGGGUCAUGUCCUCAUCCAAAGCAAACCAAAUGGGCACCGUUGAUGUCUACUGCCUCUCUUCAUAGCACACAGAGAAUCAGAAAGGUCUCCACAGAGAAGACACAUGGUCCCCCACCUACCUGGUGGAUAAAUGGAGGCUCAGAGAGGUGAAGUCACUUGCCUGGAGCCACACAGCAGCCACCAAAGAUGUCAGAAGACAACACCAUCUGAAGAAAGAGCUGGCUCGGGACAUUUGCACAAGCCCUUCCACCUGGCCUCCAGGGUCAAUGUACACAGCCAAGGUCUCUAGCAAGCGUGCCCUGACAGUCAGCCACCACAGGCUUAUGCCUAGAUGCUGCCGACUUUGGAUACGGUGGGCAUCAGCCAAGAUCCGCCCUUCGUGUUGCUUCUCAUGUGACUUUAAUCUGCCCUCCGGGCAAGGGUGUGGCCAGAAACACAUCCUCCCUUGGACACCACCUCGAGGUCAGGAGAACAUGUCACUGGCACGACCUGCUUCCUUCUGCACAUUCACCACGCCUCAUCUGUGUCACCUCACAGGUCCCCGGCUUCUACCCCGCCUCCGUUCCUCCUUCCCUUCCUUCUCCCCACAAAAGGCGAUGGGCCAGGUUGGCGUACUGAGAUGAGGCGGUGAACCUCAGACAUCCGUCACCGCUGUGCAGGCUGGAGAAAGAGGGAGAUGGUGGACGGGAACAAUGAGUGUCUGGGAUACAGGGGAAGGUCAGACGCAGCGGGUGGCAGAGGACAGAAUGAGACUGUAAGGUGGCAGUGGGCUGUGGACAGUCCUGGAAGGUUAGACGCUGGUUCUGUGGGAACCCUGGAAGGCUAAACACAGUGGGUGGGUGUAGACUACACAGGAAGGAUAGGUGUCCUGGGAAGUCAAGAAGGAGGAAACGCCAUGGGGUGCUGGGGGGAUACCGAGUCUCCCCUUAAAGCCUAUGUUAGAGCUUUUUCUCUCACAUGUUCAGGGGUACUGAGACCUUCUCAAGCUAUGGUCCAGUAGAUGCUGUUCGAUCACUGGGAUGUGCAAUUGAAGGGACAGGGAGUCCCUAUACCCUCCUGGGCUCUCUCCACUCCUAAUAACAUGUGAAGUUUGCUUUUCCUAUGAUCUCUGACCAUGGAUGCUAGCUCCUUCACCCACUACCCUCCAGAAGUGGGUAGAUGCAGGUGCUUGCCCACCCUCAACCUCCAGAGCUAUGAGUUCAUUGGAACCUUUCUCUCUGUCUGCUUGGUUGCCUCUGGCAUUGUGUUGUAGUAACUGCAAAGCUGACUCAGAGGCGGUCCUCAGUAUAGCUGUGGCUCGGGGAGGCUGGUGAUAAAAUGACCAGAAUGGGACUGGAGGUAAGGGAGGCGACUGAUAUCUGGGGGCGGAGGGAGGUGUAGGCUGAGCAGGCCUCACUCCUAGCCCUCACCCAGAUCUCCUAGGCUCACCCAUGUUCUGGCCACAAGACCUGCUUCGGCCAAUGGGGAGUCAGCAAGGAUGUUGCAUGUGCAAGCUUUUUAAACCCUUGGGUAAUAUUAGGCUGGCCUGAGGCUAAUGUCACUAGGAAGCUUGCUUAGGCCUUCAACCAUCACAGCGCCUCAGCUGACUGUGACUGCUGGAGUGAGGGAGGUGGAGUAGGGAGACAGGGCCAGGCUCUGCUCAGUCAGCACCCAUGUGGAAUCCUGUAUUCAGCUUUGGCUGCUGGGGUAGGAGUUCCUGGGCAGUCGUCAUGCAUGGGUGGGUACUCAGCGGCUACAGAUGAAGGCUGGGAGGAGCCUUUCUGGACGUCCAGGGCCAGCAGCCAUAAUCUAGGCAUGGGAGCCUAUGGUGUGAGGAACUCAGAUCAAGACCAGUGGUAGCCAGAGAGGAAGGUCAUGUGCUAUGGCUCCCAUGGUUGCUGAUGACAAGAUGCUGGGGGAACACACUGUUAUUUUUAAGCAGAAUUUAAGGUGAUGCAGAAGAAUCAAAAAGGGCAGACAGACAGAGAGACAGACAGACAGACAGACAGACAAACACACACACACACACACACACAGAGAGAGAGAGAGAGAGAGAGAGAGAGAGAGAGCUUCACACUGGGGUGUGUAUCCAAGAUGUAGUCAUGUGGUCCUUGGAGGAGUCCUUGGUGCAAGUGAAAGGCAAGAUUCUCUGGGUGGCUGCAGGCAUAGGCAGAGUCCCCGUGUCCCCAGGGCUCCGCCAACCCUCAGCCAUGCUCAGGUGGAGGGAGGUCUGCCUGGCAGCCAUAGCUGUCCUGGGUAAACAGUGGACAGUCUGUUUGGAACAGGACCUCAAUGGCAAUGCUAGACCCACAGUCGUCCUCGUGGGGCUCAGCAGGGUUGGAGCAAGGAGACGAGCAUCACCUGGGUGGACCUCUAGCCCUCUCUUGGCUGCAGCUACUGUGUGCCAUCCUUCCCCCACUUCCAUAUUGGAGCACGGGUAGCCUUUGUCUUAUGUCCUGCUCUACACCGUGAGAGGGACCCCAUUCUGGUCUGCUGGGGACUAUGGAAGCUGUGUGUGAUGUCACUUUGCAGCCUGCAGUAGGAGCACAGAGCAGUGUGGAUCACCUCUGUGCCCCCCCCUAAGCUCCCCCUUCCUCCCCCCACCCCUGCUGUUUCCUCUGCUUUGUCUUAUCAGUGACUGCUUGUCAUGGGGGCAAGGUUUGGUGGUGGAGUCCACACUGUUCUGUGCCAGCCAGCUUCCGCCUGGAGUCGGGGCUGAGGAGAAAGCUAUGAAUGCCAGCCAGGGUAGCGGGAUGUGUGUUGAGCAUGAUGUCCGCUUGGGGCCAGAGGAGACAGGCAAGUCUUGCCACUAUCAACAGUGUGGGCAAGCUCUAUGCUCUCCUCCUAGGGACCCAGAAACAUCACGGGGGGAGGUGUCCUGAAAAAUGGAGACUGAGGCUGUGCCGCUUAUCCAUUCCCAGGCAAACCCUGGGCCUAGGUGGACUACCCCUGUUGCCUUUCCCUGCCUCCACGGAGCUGGAGACCAGUGAGUGACCUUGACCUUUUACCCUCAAGGCUGUGCCAACAGUCGGGGAGGCAGACAGUGUCCUGUGUGAAAGUGGCCUGUGACCUUGGGUUCCCUUGCAAACGGAGAGGGCAGCAGUAUGGAUCUCAUUGUGUCUGAUGCCCCACCCCCAGGGUAUUGGGGACCGUCCCUUGAGGCCCAUCCUAGCUCACUCAUCUCUGAUGCUGGAGGUUGAAUGGAUAUGUGUGCCACAACUCGGUCUGCCUGGCCAUGUACCAUGGACAAGUGUGUGUUUUCCUGUGGGCUCUGGAAUCUACCAGCCCCAAUGCCUCAUGGGAACACCACAAGGGACCCAGCCAUGGGCACCUAGCACUACGCUGUCCCCUCGUAUACCCAGGCAGCAUCUAUUCCACUAAAUGUGCCUUUUUGGAGCCUGCCUUUUGUUACCCUAUUGUGUGUGAGGGUGCGUGUGUAUUUGAAGGUCAGAAGACAUGGGAGUUGGCUUUCUCCUUCUGCCUUUUUGUGGGUUCUACACUAAGCGCCUUUACCCACAGAGCCACCAUCUUGCCUGCCCAAUGCCGGGCUUUCAGUUCUCCCCAUACUGGCCACACUUUCCUACGCCCAGGAGCACAGAUUCUGUAAGGCUCUGCAGCAAGCCAAGGAAAGGUAGCAUCCGAAGCAGCCUGAGGGGAGCAGAGGAAGCUCUGAGUGAAAGCAGAGCCCUGUCAACGACCCUAGUCUCAGACCCAGAGGGAGAUGGCAAAGCCUGCUCUCCUGGUCCAUGUGUGGGCGUUGAUAGUGUGUGCAGAAAAUGGACACCGUGGAUGUCUACAGCCUGAAGACGGCUCCCUGUAGAGACUGUGCCUACCCAGAUUAGCAAACCCAGCCUCCUCCAUCCAGCUGCACACGGUAAACCCCGCCCCCUGUUCAGCUGUAUUCAAUAACUCUCUCUGUUCAGCUCUAUACAAUAAACAUGCCGUGCUUCCUGGGUGCUCUGUUUCUCCAUCAGAGAAUGCAGUCCACCUGAGCCAA